GGAGCUACAGCUCAGUGGUAGAGUAUGUGCUUGGCAUGCACAAGGUCCUGGGUUCAAUCCCCAGCACCUCCA
rfam:Camelus ferus unplaced genomic scaffold scaffold145, whole genome shotgun sequence.